GGUGUGUAAGUGGGUAGGAAUCAAGGAAGACUUAUACAGAUGCCUAGCAGGCUAGAUACUAAGCUGUCCUUGAAAUGCAGAGGAGGCAGACACCAAAAGAGCAAAAUGCAGCUUGUAUUUUCUAUAGUAGAAGAAUUUAGAAGCUGCACACUCUGUCCGUGGGUAAACCCAGUGAGGACUGCAGUGGCAAGAGGUCAGAUGCUGCUGUUCACUGGCACAACACCUGGAGAUCAGCAGUGUCAAUGACCCCUGUGUUACCUCCUACACAGUUAGCAGGGAGCCCUUUGUUGAAAUCUUGGCAGCCCAUCUCUGCCAGGAAGACAGAACUGCUCUGUGCUGAGCUUGGCACAUCUUCUUUGCGGCAUGUGGGGUGUGCAAGGCGGUGGGGAAGGCUGCCAUCUCAUGGUGAGCCUUGCAUGCUCAGCUAGCCUACCUUGCAGCUGGCUUCCAGGCCAGGUUGCCCCUCAGCAGAUGUUUUCUCAAUAAAUUAUGUGUACAGUCCCAGAAGAAGCCAGAGUAUUUUACCCUGAGCUUUGUGCUUUAGCAUUUAGACCAACCCUAUCAGAGCACAGAGUUGUCUGGUUUCUUGCCUUUUCCAUGUUUUGCAUGAGAGCAAAAUGGUAGUUAUGAAAAACCAUGGGGGCAAGGCCCAUCCGAGGAGAGGUCAAUCAUCACAGAUGGUUUUAGCGGCUACUUGAGACCAAAAUGCUGUUGUCUUUGACUAGCUUUGCUGAGUCACAGCCCCAAAUGGAAACUCCCCUGGAACCGCUUGUGGGUUGCAACUUUCAAUUUUGGGACGCUUUGGUAUUCAUCACUAACCUUCAGCUGUGGCUCACACAUCCUACACUCACGCUUGCUGUCUGUCCUCCACUUCCUGAAGACAUACCGGCACCUGCCCAAGAUGGGCUGGAGGCUAUCAGCUGUGGGCUCCCUCUGCACACCGUGGGACAUGGCAGCUCUGUAGCUGGCAUUGUGGUGUCUUCAGAAGUCUCCAGAAAACAGAAAUCUGCCACCAAAAUGUGCUUUGGCCUCUACACAGAAUGGAAACACUGUCCAAGUUAUCAGCAUUAACAGCUGCCUAAACUAUCUCCUGAACAUGCAUUCCAUGAACAUGUACAUGUGUAUGCAGUCUCAAACGUGAAUGCACUCCUGAGUCCUGUAUCUGGGAACUUCUGAAAUAUAUGGUGGUUGAUGGACAAAGAUGUAAUUUUUCAAACUUAAGCUCUGGCUGUAGAAGACUUCUUCUGAAUAUAGUUUAAUAUAUAAAAAUAAUGAAAUAAGGAAAUGAAAUAAUACAGGUACUAUUUUUACAAGCUGUUUCUUGGAGCAGUGGAAGCCCAGGGUAAUGUUUAGUGCAAGUGUGGGAUCAAUUUCAGCUAAAGGGGUGUAGGCUGCACUCAUAUGUUUUGCCUAUGGGUAUUUUGGAUAGAUUGGGAAAAAUAGAGAGUAGAAACUAAUCUGCACUUUUUGAAAUAUGGUAACACUUUACAGGGAAUAUAUACUCAAUUCAUAGUCUUCACAACUUUUAUUUGAACGAAGGGUAUAAAGAUGUCAAAAGAAGCUUCAGUAAUGGAAAAAAUAAAAACAAACCUGUUGUGCUUUACAUCAGGAUUUUCCUCA